ACACGCAUGGUGAAACGGUAUCAUGCUUGCCUUCCAUUACGGGUGCUUAUCUCCAGGUUAGCAAGCGGCAGGGGUUCGACUCCCCUUGCGUGUA